rnacentral:ncRNA from 1 species
UUGAGCCGUAUGCAGGGAAACUUGCACGUACGGUUCUUAGGGGAGGCUGCGGCGGCGACGCUGCGGCCUUACCCGAGU